GCGCAAUAAUAGAAACUAACCAGGAUUCCCUUAGUAACGGCGAGUGAAGUGGGAAGCAAUGCAUACGUCGCGUAAUUUAUUACGUGUUCGUAGCUCAGCCCGUCGAUAUAAUCCAUUCUUAGCUGUCGUACUUCGGUACCUCUGCUGGAAGGAAUUGUAGCAUCGAAAGCAUUCAAGUUGUAUUCAUACACUACGCAGUCAUAUUAUACACACACAUACACACCCCGCUGCAAGUGCUAUAAUAAUACAUACAGUGUAUCAUAUAUACGAUUCAAACACACAGCGUUUAGCGCUGGAAAGCAAUCAUUGUAGUUUUACUACAGCCAUAGAGUGUGACAGCCACGUUUUAUGGAAUUUGAUAUACUAUAUCGCACACACGCAGUCUUAUUGUAUAUGUCACGCGGUAGAAUACGUAAUUCGUGAAUGUUGACCCUGAGUCGAGUUGUUU
rnacentral:rRNA from 1 species